GUAAGGGGAUCUAUAAUGGAUAACAGAGGAUGGUGAGAAUGUCAAUUGUAGCUCCAAAGCCAAUUGCCAUGGUGGGGACUGUAGGCGAUCCCACUGACCUUCAUCUUCCAAGUUCCCUCCCCAACCAGGGGUUUACAAGAAUGCUGGAGGAACUGCUCCUAGGACUUUGGUGAAGAAGUGGAUCCAAAUGGUGUAAGAGGUGCACUGUGCCGCGUGCUGUGAUAUGUUGCUCAGAUCCCCUUUUGGGAAUGAAGAAUUAAUUACCCCAGCUGCUGUGGUGGGUGCUGCUGGCAGAUGACCCUCAGUUGUCAGCACUUCUGAGGGGAUUGUCUCAACCUGAGAAAACAGACUCAGCUGAGGUCAUGCCUUCUUCCAGGGGCCACCCACAUGCAAUGACUUAUCAUCAUGGGGUUAUAACAGCUCAGCCCAUUCACCCCCAAUGCAGGAUAACUCUGAAGAGACACUUGAGCUCCAGAAGUUUCUGUGAAUCUUCUGAAGUUGUCAUUCGAUCCACAUCAUAUCUCAACUUCUCCCCCUGCCCAAACCUGUUUUCUUCCUCUCUUUCUAUAGGUUUUGAAUCAUGAGAAAUCUUUAAAUGACAUCUCUGUCUCAUAUUCUGCUUGCUGAGAAACUACUGCAAACACCUAUCUUGCAAACUCCACCACUAUUAUUACCAUCAUUGGGUUGCCCUUCUCUCCGCAGUCCACAUUCCUUGCUGCCUAGAACAGUCAAUAGCAAAUAAUUUCCUUCCAUAUUAUAAUUAUGGUCUAGUUUACCCUUUGGUUUCAGGUCUUGCUCAAAGACCAUCACCAAGUAAGCUUCCCUGAUUGAUCUUUUUCUAUUCUGAUCCAACUUUAAAAUGUGGGUCCCACAUCCCCAUCCUCUGGUGUUCUGUACCCUCUGGCAUUGUGUUUGUUGCAUUACAGUGCAGUGACUGUUUAUGAGUCUGAAUUUCUUCCUCCACAGUGAACUCCUAAAUGCUGAGGACAUGACCAUGCAAUUUUCCUCUUUCCAGCCCUGGUACCUAACACCGUGCCUGACUCAUUGUGGCCUCUCAAUCCGUGUUUGUUGCAGAAUGAAAUGCAUUUGGAUUUUACUGCUGGGAAAACAAGGACAGGCAGUCUGAACAGAGUUGUCAUCAUUGUCUAAUUAUUCUUGGGUGUGUACCUGCUUAUUCAAUUUAAGAGAAAGCUCCUGACGUUGCAGAGAAGGUGCUUUUUCAUUUACUAGUAAUUUUUCUAUCUUCCUAUAGAGAAUGGUGCUCUCUUUUUCUCUUCUUUUCUCAGUAGGACCUGAGUAAACACUAAUAGACUCACUGUAACAGGAGUGUAGAACAGAGCCUGGGUUGGCCCCAGGCAAAGUUGCAAAACAGCAGACAUUUAUCUUCAGUUCUUCACCAUUUCUUUUCUAUGUUCUUUCCCCACUUCCAGCACUCCAUUAUCUCUGCUAUUUUAUUCUCCUCAGAAAGCUUAGUUCUAGGAAAAGGACUGAUUUAGUCAUUUAUAGCUUGGUGUGACUUUAAGUCAGUAUGCUGUCUCUUCCUGGAGUACUUGCACUUUUGCCUCACUUCUGAUUCAAGAACAAAAGUCUCCAUAAAAAGUCUAAAGGGCUCUCUGCCUUCCCGUCAGAGUAUCUGUUUUUGUUUUAAAUUGCAUUUUUGAAAAAUAGUGCCAUUAUUUGACUCAUAUUUUCUUCCCCCUUCUAUUGUAUCCUCAAGGAGGGUAGGGACCUGUUUCUGUUUUGUUUUUGGCAUUGUAUCUCAGCACUCAGUAUAGUGCUUUGUAUACCAUGAGUAAUUUAUAAAUGAUGACAAAUGCACAUUUAUAAAUAAUUGUAUCAUAUAAGUAAAUUUAUAAAUAAUGGUUGAAUAGUUGGGCAGGUGUUUUAGAAGUAGGUGGAGAAGCUCCGCCCCAGAGAUUCCCACUGAGCUUACAUCAUCUGGCUCUCACCUCCUGUUUGCUCCGGGGCUACGCCCCUUGCUGUUUCUUACGUGAGCCUUCCACAUUACCAGAAGCAAUGGGUGGGAAGAGUAGAAGAGGCUGAAGCAUGAGGAAAAUUGUCAGUUCUGAAGCCCUGGAAAGAAGCCCCUGCUGGGUGUCCAGGAGGGUGAAGAUACUAAAGCAUGGCAAGCAUGGGGUGCUUUACUUGGGAAGGACCCUAGACGUCUUCCAGCUCAAGGGACUGAGACAUACAGAAGUUAGGGGACUUAAACAGGGCCACUGUGUUCAUUUGCUAGAGCUGCCAUGACAAAUUGCCACAGACUGGGUGACUUAAACAACAGAAAUCGAUUUUCUCAUAGUCCUGGAAGCUACAGGUCUAAGAUCAAGUGAUGGGGUCUCGCUCUAUUGCCCAGGCUGAAGGGCAGUGGCACGAUCUCGGCUCAUUGCAACCUCUGCCUCCUGGACUCAAGCGAUUCUCUUGCUUCAGCCUCCUGAGUAACUGGGAUUACAGGCACACACCAUCACACCCGGCUAAUUUGUGUAUUUUUAGUAGAGAUGGGGUUUCUCCAUGUUGGCCAGGCUGAUCUCAAACUCCUGACCUCCAGUGAUCUGCCUGCCUUGGCAUCCCAAAGUGCUGGGAUUACAGGCACGAGCCACAAAUCUUUUAUUCUUAUAAGGACACCAGUCACAGUGGAUUAGAACCCAGUCAUAUGACCCAAUUUAAACUUAAUUACCUCUUUAAAGGACCUAUCUCCAAACACAGUCACAUCAACAUAUGCGAGGUAGGACAUCAACAUAUGAUUUUUGGGGGAAGAGAAUUCAGCCCAUUAUAGUCACCAGGCAAACAGAGGCAGUAUAGACCAAGGGUUAAAUGUACUAUGUGUAGAGACAGACUAGAUUUGGAACUCUGACACUGCCACUUAAAAUCAUGUGGGCCAAUUUUUCAAUCUCUUGAUACCUUAGUUUCCUCUUCUGUUACAUAAAAAUAAAAAUAAUUAUGGCACCAGCCCUGUUAAAUGAGAUGAUGUAUGCAAAGUACAAUGUGUAGAUGUUGCCAGUAUUUAAUAACUGCCAGUAGUAGUAGCUAUUGAGUUUGUGUUGUUACUGUUGUUAUUAUUAGUUUCCUUUCCUUUUCUUUUUUCUUUUUUUUUUUGAGACAGAGUCUUGCUCUGUCACCCAGGCUGGAGUGCAGUGGCACGAUCUCGGCUCACUGCAACCUCUGCCUCCCAGGUUCAGGUCAUUCUCCUGCCUCAGCCUCCCAAGUAGCUGGGAUUACAGGUGCAUACUACCAUGGCUGGGUAAUUUUUAUAUUUUUAGUAGAUGUGGAAUUUUGCCAUGUUGGUCAGGCUGGCUUGAACUCCUGGGCUCAAGUGAUCCACCAGCCUCAGCCUUCCAAAGUGUUGGGAUUACAGGCAUGAGCCACUGCUCCCUGCCUAUUAGUUUCCGUUUCUGUAAAAUAGGGCUAAUUGAAGUGUCCACCUACUUCUUAGAGUUGUGAGGAUUGCAUGAGAUAAUGCAUAGUGAAGAGCUUAUAUAUCCCCUGGCACAGGGCAAGACCUCAAAAAAUAUUAGUUGUGGUCAUUGUCUUCAUGAGACAAGAACAAGUUUUCCAAAAUCCUGUAGCUUCCUUUCAUGCUACUAAAUAGGAUCUGACAUAGCAAAAUUGUCUGUGUAUUUCAUAAGAUGCAGAUUUUCUUAUUUGAUUAGUUUUCAAAAGAAAAGCCACCUAUUUCAUGCAGGUACUCUUAUAUCAAUUAUUAAAACCUGAAAUGAAGUAACACAGGAGCACACACAACUUAUAGCUAAAUUUUUUUUUAGCCAUAGGAAGGUGGGAUCUGCGUUCUGAAUUACAUGGUAGAAAAAUGUUCCGGUUCAAUGUGGGUGAUUAACUGUUUGAUAUCUUGUCAGGCUUUGACAGUUCUCCCUCUGUUUUACACCUCUUACUAUGUCUCGUGUAAUUAAGAAAUGGUACUGAGUUCUUGUCAUCCACCAUUAAGGAGUAGUCACAGAUAGUUUCAUAACAUCUGCUUUUUGCAACCUUCUAAUUAUCCAUAAAAAUCUGGCAGAGAGACCUGACAGUUUAUCCAGAACAUAGAAUAUGAAUGCAAAAUAAGAUCUUUGCUUCUACAUACAGAGUGAUGGUAUAAAAAAGAUACUAUCUAACCUCUUAUUUUGCAUGCAGCUAUGUUGCCUGUUUAAAUCAGAGUUAGGUGCAUGUCUUCUCAAUAAAGACUCAAUUUUAAAAAGCAUUUUUUGACAAAUUGAAUGUGGGUCAGGAAUACACUAAUGAUGCUGUGUCAGAAUCUGUUGUCAGUUGCUGCCCCAUUACUCUCCUUAGAAUCCAUUCAAAAACAGUUACUUCUCUCCCCUUAUCUGCAAGCUUUGAGCUGCCCAUACCCUGAUAGGAAGAACUGAGGAACUCCUGACUGGUCCAGAUGCUUGCCUCUAGCAAGGUCAACUCUCAGCCUCCUCUUGCUCGUUUCUGGUAGUGGGUGCCUGUCUUGUCCACCAACUUGCCUCGCUUUCUGAUUCAUUACCUGACCUUGAUUCUGGGAAACGCACUUUCUGAACUCUUACACUGUGUGUCUUUAGUCUGUUGAAACACUAUAUUAUUUUGACUUUUGGCCAUAGCAUAUCUUCUUUCUACCUACACCUUCAAAAUCCAUUUGGACCCAUAAAUAACUUUUUUUUUCCUGCCCUUUGGUUUUAAAUCCACAGAUGCCUAUCUGAACAUUUUCUUCUUCUUUUCUUUCUUCCUUUCUUUAUCUUUUUUUUUUUUUUUUUUUUUUUUUUGGUGAGACAGAGUCUCACUCUGUCCCCCAGGCUAGAGUGCAAUAGUGUGAUCUCAGCUCACUGCAACCUCCGCCUCCCCGAUUCAAGUGGUUCUCCCACCUCAGCCCCCCUAGUA
rnacentral:lncRNA from 1 species